CCAUGUGAGCUAGGCAUAAGGCUAAAUCGGAUGAAGUAAAACCAUACCUUCACGAGUGGAGUCAAAUAUUCUCUUCGACAAGUGUGGAUUCCUUGUUUUGACACAGUCCAUGUAGAACCCUGAAUUGUCAGUUCCUUGAGAAUUUCUUGCAAAUUUUUAGGCUUGAUAUUGCUCAUCAAUAUAGAAUAUUCAUCAUUUUCGAAAUCUGGUAAUUCAAAGAACUCAUUAAUAGCAUUUGAAUUUAUCGGUACCUUG
rnacentral:lncRNA from 1 species